GAUGAACGCUGGCGGCGUGCCUAAUACAUGCAAGUCGAGCGAACAGACGAGGAGCUUGCUCCUCUGACGUUAGCGGCGGACGGGUGAGUAACACGUGGAUAACCCUCCUCUAAGACUGGGAUAACCUCGGGAAACCGGAGCGACUACUGGCUCAUAAAAUGUACCGACGGGCUCAAUAGUGAAAGACGGUUUUGCUGCCUCUUAUAGAUGGAUUCGCGCCGGAUUAGCUAGUUGGUAAGGUACCGGCUUACCAAGGCAACGAUGCGUAGCCGACCUGAGAGGAUGAUCGGCCACACGAGAACUGAGACACGGUCCAGACUCCUACGGGAGGCAGCAGUAGGGAAUCUUCCGCAAUGGGCGAAAGCCUGACGGAGCAACGCCGCGUGGGUGAUGAAGGUCUUCGGAUCGUAAAGCUCUGUUAUUAGGGAAGAACAAAUGUGGAAGUAACUAUGCACGUCUUGACGGUACCUAAUCAGAAAGCCACGGCUAACUACGUG
rnacentral:rRNA from 1 species